GUGGGGAAUUUUGGACAAUGGGCGAAAGCCUGAUCCAGCAAUGCCGCGUGCAGGAUGAAGGCCCUCGGGUUGUAAACUGCUUUUGUACGGAACGAAAAGCCUGGGGCUAAUAUCCCCGGGUCAUGACGGUACCGUAAGAAUAAGCACCGGCUAACUACGUGCCAGCAGCCGCGGUAAUACGUAGGGUGCAAGCGUUAAUCGGAAUUACUGGGCGUAAAGCGUGCGCAGGCGGUUUUGUAAGACAGUGGUGAAAUCCCCGGGCUCAACCUGGGAACUGACAUGGUGACUGCAAGGCUAGAGUGCGGCAGAGGGGGAUGGAAUUCCGCGUGUAGCAGUGAAAUGCGUAGAUAUGCGGAGGAACACCGAUGGCGAAGGCAAUCCCCUGGGCCUGCACUGACGCUCAUGCACGAAAGCGUGGGGAGCAAACAGGAUUAGAAACCCGGGUAGUCC
rnacentral:rRNA from 1 species